rnacentral:lncRNA from 1 species
UUUUUGGGGGGGGGAGUUCAGAUUUCUCUGUUGUAUGAAGAAAAAUGCAAUCUCAACUGAAAGAUACUGAUAUAGAUAUCUAUUUUGAUACAUAAAAAUAUUUAAAAAUAUUUACUGGAUUAGUGCAAUAAAAUAUGUAUUAGCUAUUGCUUAUCUAUCAUUAUAAUCAUUAAAAAAUAAAUUGUGUAUAUUUCAUUUAUCUUGUUGAUUAAUGUUGUUAUUGGGUAACAAAUCUUCUGGUAACAAAUCAUUUUUGCCUCUUUAUCCAUUUUGUAGGCUAUAGAUUUUAUAGGUUAUUUCAUAUCAAAGCAUCACUUGGCUCUUAAUUAGAAAUGAUAAUACUUUGAGCUGUUUAACAAAUUAGUAUUGUAAGUGUGUGUGUGUAGUUAUAAUCUGAUACAUGCCAACACAAAAAACCUUGUGUAGUUGCUAAACUCUUCUGUAAAUAUUGAUAAAUCAUGCUUCUUUACAAAUUUACAUAAAUUCCUAAUAAUUGAUAAGUCAUAACUAAACAUAAUUUUAACUCCCACAUUUGAUUAACAGACCUCUAGUGACUUAGAACUGAUUAAUAGAGGUAAAUUGUCUGCAUUCCAAAAGAUGAAUACACUGUAUGAAAAAAUAAUGCACUUAUGAGAUAGCAGAAUAUAAACUAAAUUCAAAAAUCCAUAUUAUAAGUAAGAGCAAUAAAUAAAAAAUCAUAUUAUAAAGACAAGAGCCUUAUUCCAGUUUUUGUAAUAUUUCUAAUUCUAAGUUAUUCAAUUCGCAUAUUAACAAUAUAACUUAUUAACCAUAUGGACAAAUUUUGGUGAAUUAAUUUUAAGCUUCUAUUGCGGACAUUUGACCAGUGUUAAAGGAGUUCUUGAUAAUAAAUGCAAAUUUAUAUUUGGCAAAUGUUCAACAUUUUCUUGAAGCAAAUAAGAGAGGAGACAUUAGCAAAGUAUAAUGAUCCCUCCAAUUUAAUGAGAUAUUAAGAAAAUAAUCUUGGACGAUGUAAUUUACUAUGCAACAUCACAUGCAUAUAUGCCUGCCUACAGUUUAUAUGACUGUAUAUCGAAAUUUACAAAUCAUAACAAUAAUGUUACAAAGUUGUAUUGCUAAUAAAAAAGUGUACUUAAAAAUUAUUUUGCAAUAAGGAAACCACAAAAUGUUUCAGAUGUAUUCAAUAUUCCAUUAUGAUAAUUCAGUAAACAAUUUUACAGAAAAUACAUUCAAAUACUUUUGUUGUCAACCAACCAUUUAAAUUAAAUAACAUGCAUUAUUUCAGCUAAUAUCUAGUUAGCAAAUCAUCAGAUCACUGAACCAGGUAUCAAAGAAUACGUAUUAAGAGAGUAUAUCUCCCUUGGAGGCAGAGGGAAGAUCAUAAAAAAGGACAACACUGUUAACACUCAGUCAUUGAACUGGAAUCACUUGGAUGAAAAGAAAGCCAGUACAUUGACAAUCACAUCAAUUCAUUAUUUACACUUCAUUAGUUAAUCAGUUCUCCAAUUUCCUCCUCCUUUGUGGCAAAAGAGGAUCUUAGAAAAGAAAGUGCCUUCUAUAGAGUGGGGCCAAAGAUUGAAUGUAAUUGAGCUAGGGAACUGCUUCUCAACAUGAAAAAAGAAGUUUAAGUAAACACAGAGUAGAGGGAACUGGAAACAUUUGCCCAGAGAUGUUUCAUAGUUGCUGUAGACCACUGAGUUCUUUGAGGCCCAAACACUUUAUAUUUCCCUCUAUUAAUCCUUCCAUUUAUUUCACCCCUGUUUUUGUCAUCAUUAUGUUUAGUGUCUUUUUAGUUCACAGAUGUCUGGACAAAGAAAAGCCAAAUUUACCCCUACUAUGAUCACAGAUCCCGGAUGUCCAGCCUAUCACUGUAAAUAGAUAAGCCUUUUAGUGUGUCCUAAGCAGGUGUUUAUGGAUUUUGCAAACACAAGGAAAGUGGAUUUUGCAAAUGAAAGGUUAGUUUGUAACAGAGUGACUUACUCUAAAGCAGUUAUCCACUUGCUCCCUCUUGAGAAAGAAUCUGUUUUCCCUGGGAGUAUUAUUUCCCAUUUAUCCAGGUAAUUUGAUUUGUGCAUUGAAGUAUGCCUGGAAGUGAUAUGAGCAGAAAUUGUAAAUGAAGCUUGCAGUUUGGACUGAUACCUUAUACCCUGCUGGUCUGCCAUAAAAAUGGUAUGUUCCAUGUAGCUUUGACCCUUGAUGCCUAAACACACUUGAAAAAGAAUUGACUCAUAUGCCAAAGCCAGGUAACUGGAUCCAAGCCAUGAGAACCCUGUCCAAGCCCAGCUAGAUCACAGUCUGGAGCAGUGCUUCUCCAAGGGAACUGCUGUGCACAGUGAACAAGGGAGAAAAAAAAAAAUGUUUUCGAUAGAAACACAUUAUUAUUUAACCUUAGAAAGAUUUUUUUUUCUCUCCAUGAAGUGUGAUAUAUUUAAUUGUGAACAUAAGGUAAUGCUUAACAACUCUUUAGCUUAAGUUUAUGGACCACUGUAAAAUUACAUAGGAAUACAUACUUACGGUAGCUUAUUUAUGAUAGCUUAUUUAUGAUACAAAGUAUGGAUCCUACAAUUUAACAGAGCAUUAUAACAGAUGGAGACUGUGGUACAAUUAUUUUUAGAAUUGGUUUGCAAUGUUUAUUUUUGGAAAUAUUAGAUACUGUUAUAACUUCCAUCUGUAAUUUUUUUUAUUUAAGUAGAAAUUGUUUUAUUUCUUAUGGAAAUAAGUCUUAAUUUACUUCAUGUGAAAGGGUCCUUCAACACAAUAUUUUCAUUUAUAUCCUAUCUAAAUUUACACUAAAUGCAUUUACACUGCCUGCAUUUAGAUCACAUGCCUAAAAUAUAUUAAAAUGAUAUCUCAUAUUAAAAUGAUAUCUCAGAUAAAAGUUUUCUUCUUAAAGCCUAAAUUGAAAUAAGGCUCAUCAGGUAGUAGCACUGAGUUGGGACUUCCUGUUAGAAUUAGGAUUGACGGAGGAGUCUAAACAAAAAAACAAAACAAAACAAAACAAAAAAAAUCUUUCAAGGAGUUGAAUCAUCUGUGCAUUGGAUGUAAGAAUAUAACACAGCUGGUAAAUUGGAAGGCCUUAGUAUCCCCCAUCUCAUACCUAUCAUAUUUUUUUAAUACGCAAUGUUGAUAUAUUCUCCUUCAUAUAUACACUGUGGAUAAAUGUAUGUUCUAAAACAUUAUCUUUGCUAAUUUGAAGCACAGUCUGCCUAUGCUAAAAACUACACUUUUGCUCCUCCUUUUACUUCCAGAUCUUAGACCCUAAGUCUCUGAUAGAGAAAUUCUAUAGCUUCGAAUCAGAAAAAGUUUGGAGACUCCAAAACAGAGGAAAUAGAGCUAGUGACUGACAUUACAUUCUAGUAUGGUUGGAAUUUAAUUGCACAUGGGAUUUUGGAGCAUCUAAGAAUCUAUGAUAAAUAAUAUCAUUGUAUUGGUAUGGGGGAAAGUUUUAAGUCUUUUGCAAGGUAAGAAAAUAAUCAGAACUGUGCACUGGGGAAAUGUUUGUUGUGACAAAGUAAGUGAUACAUUUGUGACUAAAAACUGGGUGCAAAGAAACAAGGUAGGAAUUGAUCACUCUCUAGGAGGAAUUGAGAAAGCUUAAUGUAGUUGAUGGUGCAAAGGAGGAGUAGUACAAAUUAUGCUAUUCGAUUGAUUCCACAGAACUUGUUGUCAGGAGUAGAGGGGAGGAAAAAAGUUUUGAAUGAAACUGAGAUUCUCAGGUAGCUUAAUUUACCCAGACAAGACGAGAGUUUGGGAUGUAGAUGCAAAAGAAUGAUGCUGCACAUUUACUUAAUUUGUGUAUUUCUCAAAUAUCUAUAAGACAAAUAAAUUAUACUGUCAGAAAUUAUGUGGUCUUUAAAAGCAUUUAUUAAUGUUUUCAUGCAUCCAAAAGCAUUCAAUUCAUUCAAAUAUCCUGUAAAUAAGAACUUAAGCCCUAUUGGAAUUUAUUACAAUUUGUAAUGAGAUGAAGUAUUCGUACACCGAUUGCCUUACAUUCCAUUUUAUUUUUUAUUAUUUUUUUACAUUCCAUUUUAAAUUCAUAUAGAGGAAAACAAAUUUUACAACUCUGAUUUCACACCAAACUAUACAUCUUCUUCAAAUUAAAUGGCUAGUUUAAAUAAAUCCUUAAAAUCAUGUUUAAAUAGAAUCUGAUACAUUAAUGUUAUGUUUCAAUUUGACUAACUUUCAUACUUGAACUAAAUCCAUUUCAAGGACGCACAUUUAUGUGUGGAAGAAAGGGAGUGCUAAGAGGUAUAAUAAUUUCCCCCAUUUAUAGCCAUGUGAAGGCUUAUUUCAUUACUAGCUGAAGACAUGCAUUAAAUAAUAGAUGAUAAACUGCAUAGCUUUUUGUUUCAUACAUUGAGGUUUUGGUUGUUGCUCUAGUUGGGUUUGAUUCUGUUUGAUUUUUACCAGAUGAAUCUUCUUUCUAUAUUCGAUAUCAGGAGCAGAUGAAAAAAAAAUCUGUUCACUGUUUCAUAUUAUCCUAUGUUAUCUGAUUACUGUUACAGAGCUUGAGGGAAGAUAAAUGAAAUGAAACCUGUAAUAGUUGGAGUUAAAAGAUAAGGGAUAUAUUCAAGGGGAAAUAGAGAAGUGGAUACAUGGAUGGAUGGAUGGUUAGAUAGAGAAAUAUUCUUAGUGAUAUAAUUACAAUCAAAGAUCUUGUUUUCUACCUCUCAUUAUCUAAACCUACAGUUGAUUUGGGUACUUCAAGCUGACGAGGCCUCUUUAAAAUGAAUACAUUAUAAUAUAAUCACUAGUGACUCAUUUAUGAAUCUACUACUAAUAAGAAUCUCCACCUUGUUCUCUACCUUGAGAGGCUGACAAGUAUGUCCUAAAACAAUGAAUGUUCUCACCCUUUUGUUUCCAAAAAGGAACCCCAACAGAAAAUGGAUAAAAGGGAUAACUAUAAAUUUAAGAUAUGUAUUCCUAUGAUUUCUUUCUUGUGGCACUGCCCUCUACGAAGGUCUCUGUUCCUUCAAAUUCUACUGGAAAACCUUAAUUUAAGAAAACUGUCUAUUCCCUAAUUAAUCAUUGAUUGAUGUAGUAACUGAUGCUUGAAAAGUUUAUGAAAACAGACCCACAAAGUAAGAAUCUGACAUUGGACUGCUUGUAUAGUAAGGAUCCCUAAGAUAACUUCCUUGACAGAGAAAAAUGGGAAAUGGGCAAUCCAUGGCAUUUGGUGGUAUCAUAAUUGGUCAGAUUAUCACUAUUUCAGCAUAGGAAGUAGCAAAGAGGGAAGGAAAGGCAUUGGGAGAACAAAUGUGUACAGUAUUUAAUUGCUGGGGUAACCAGUAGUGAUCAUUUCUAACUACCUUCAGGCGAGUGGGGGUGUUUGUGGAUUAAUGAAAUCCUGGAUCUAUAAAUCUGUGUUCCUGAAAUCUAUGAAAAAACUCAGUCUUGGAUUCCUCUUCUGAGGGCUAGCUACAUACUAUCUUCCCACUAAAAAUACUGUUAUCACUCAAUGUUCCGGUAGCAAAUAGAUAGCACAGUACUCCUAAGCCUCCUAAAAUUACAAGCCUCUUAAAAGUAUAUCACUGUGGGCAGCCCUGGUGGCUCAGAGGUUUGGCUCUGCCUUCAGCCCAGUGCCUGAUCCUGGAGUCCCGGGAUCCAGUGCUAGGUUGGGCUGCCUGCGUGGAGCUUGCUUCUCGCUCUGUGUCUCUGC